rnacentral:tRNA from 1 species
GUUUCUGUAGUUUAGUGGUCAUCACGUGCGCUUCACACGCACAAGGUCCCCAGUUCGAAGCUAGGCAGAAACA